ACUGCAAGUCGAGCGAAAGACGAGGAGCUUGCUCCUCUGACGUUAGCGGCGGACGGGUGAGUAACACGUGGAUAACCUACCUAUAAGACUGGGAUAACUUCGGGAAACCGGAGCUAAUACCGGAUAAUAUAUUGAACCGCAUGGUUCAAUAGUGAAAGACGGUUUUGCUGUCACUUAUAGAUGGAUCCGCGCCGCAUUAGCUAGUUGGUAAGGUAACGGCUUACCAAGGCAACGAUGCGUAGCCGACCUGAGAGGGUGAUCGGCCACACUGGAACUGAGACACGGUCCAGACUCCUACGGGAGGCAGCAGUAGGGAAUCUUCCGCAAUGGGCGAAAGCCUGACGGAGCAACGCCGCGUGAGUGAUGAAGGUCUUCGGAUCGUAAAACUCUGUUAUUAGGGAAGAACAAAUGUGUAAGUAACUAUGCACGUCUUGACGGUACCUAAUCAGAAAGCCACGGCUAACUACGUGCCAGCAGCCGCGGUAAUACGUAGGUGGCAAGCGUUAUCCGGAAUUAUUGGGCGUAAAGCGCGCGUAGGCGGUUUUUUAAGUCUGAUGUGAAAGCCCACGGCUCAACCGUGGAGGGUCAUUGGAAACUGGAAAACUUGAGUGCAGAAGAGGAAAGUGGAAUUCCAUGUGUAGCGGUGAAAUGCGCAGAGAUAUGGAGGAACACCAGUGGCGAAGGCGACUUUCUGGUCUGUAACUGACGCUGAUGUGCGAAAGCGUGGGGAUCAAACAGGAUUAGAUACCCUGGUAGUCCACGCCGUAAACGAUGAGUGCUAAGUGUUAGGGGGUUUCCGCCCCUUAGUGCUGCAGCUAACGCAUUAAGCACUCCGCCUGGGGAGUACGACCGCAAGGUUGAAACUCAAAGGAAUUGACGGGGACCCGCACAAGCGGUGGAGCAUGUGGUUUAAUUCGAAGCAACGCGAAGAACCUUACCAAAUCUUGACAUCCUCUGACCCCUCUAGAGAUAGAGUUUUCCCCUUCGGGGGACAGAGUGACAGGUGGUGCAUGGUUGUCGUCAGCUCGUGUCGUGAGAUGUUGGGUUAAGUCC
rnacentral:rRNA from 1 species